UACGUGUGAGGCAAGCGUUAUUCGUCUUUAAUGGGUCUAAAGGGUAAGUAGGCGGUAUAUGUAAUCAUAUUAUUAAUCACAUGUGUGUGGAUUUGAUAUUUAUAUACUAGAGUUUGAAGGGAGUAACAGACACAACAAGAGUAGUGUAGUAAUACUAGUAUACUUGAGGGGUCUCAUAGCGGCGAAGGCGUGUUACUAUGUAAGACUGACGCUGAGGCGCGAAAGCGUGGGGAGCGAACAGG
rnacentral:rRNA from 1 species